rnacentral:rRNA from 1 species
GUGUCAGCAGCCGCGGUAAGACAGAGGGCGCGAGCGUUGUUCGGAAUCAUUGGGCGUAAAGCGCGCGCAGGCGGGUGCGCAAGUCGGGAGUGAAAUUCCGGGGCUCAACUCCGGAGCGGCUUCCGAAACUGCGUGUCUAGGGACCGGUAGGGGUCGGUGGAAUUCCCGGUGUAGCGGUGGAAUGCGUAGAGAUCGGGAAGAACACCUGUGGCGAAGGCGGCCGACUGGGCCGGAUCCGACGCUGAGGCGCGAAAGCGUGGGGAGCAAACAGGAUUAGAUACCCUCGUAGUCC